AUUGAACGCUGGCGGCAUGCCUUACACAUGCAAGUCGAACGGCAGCGGACCUUCGGGUGCCGGCGAGUGGCGAACGGGUGAGUAAUAUAUCGGAACGUACCUUUCAGUGGGGGAUAACGUAGCGAAAGUUACGCUAAUACCGCAUAUUCUGUGAGCAGGAAAGCAGGGGAUCGCAAGACCUUGCGCUGAUUGAGCGGCCGAUAUCAGAUUAGCUAGUUGGUGAGGUAAAGGCUCACCAAGGCGACGAUCUGUAGCGGGUCUGAGAGGAUGAUCCGCCACACUGGAACUGAGACACGGUCCAGACUCCUACGGGAGGCAGCAGUGGGGAAUUUUGGACAAUGGGCGCAAGCCUGAUCCAGCCACGCCGCGUGAGUGAAGAAGGCCUCGG
rnacentral:rRNA from 1 species